UCAAGAAACUUCCACAAUGGGCGAAAGCCUGAUGGAGCGACGUCGCGUGAUGGACGAAGUGCUUCGGCACGUAAACAUCUUUUAUGUGGGAAGAAAUUAUUGACAGUACCACAUGAAUAAGGGGCUCCUAACUCUGUGCCAGCAGGAGCGGUAAUACAGAGGCCCCAAGCGUUAUCCGGAAUCACUGGGCGUAAAGGGUGUCGAGGCGGUUGUAUUAGUCGUUCGUAAAAUCUACGAGCUUAACUUGUAGGCGGCGAACGAAACGGUACGACUUGAGGUUUGGAGAGGUGCGUGGAACUCACGGUGUAGGGGUGAAAUCCGUUGAUAUCGUGGGGAACACCAAAGGCGAAGGCAGCGCACUGGCCAAAAUCUGACGCUCACACACGAAAGCUAGGGUAGCGAAGAGGAUUAGAUACCCACGUAGUCCCUGAGCGGGCUGGCAAGGCGCAU
rnacentral:rRNA from 1 species